rnacentral:rRNA from 1 species
AUUGAACGCUGGCGGAAUGCUUUACACAUGCAAGUCGAACGGCAGCACGGGGGCAACCCUGGUGGCGAGUGGCGCACGGGUGAGUAAUACAUCGGAACGUGUCCUAGGGUGGGGGAUAGCCCGGCGAAGCCGGAUUAAUACCGCAUACGCUCGAAAGAGGAAAGUGGGGGAUCGUAAGAUCUCACGCCCAAGGAGCGGCCGAUGCCGGAUUAGCUUGUUGGUGAGGUAAAAGCUCACCAAGGCGACGAUCCGUAGCUGGUCUGAGAGGACGACCAGCCACACUGGGACUGAGACACGGCCCAGACUCC